GCCCAACCAAGAGCUUCGUUGUCUGGUAACCGUGAGCGCGCGAGCGAGCUCUCGAACUGUCUCUUCUCCGUCCUCUCUUCUCUGCAUUGACUUCGAGCUAGACGGCAGCGGCGGCGGCGGCGAUGGCGGCGUCGACGGCGGUGAGGAGGAUCAAGCUGGGGUCGCAGGGCCUCGAGGUGUCGGCGCAGGGGCUGGGCUGCAUGGGCAUGUCCGCCGCCUACGGCCUGCCCAAGCCCGAGCCCGACAUGAUCAAGCUCAUCCACCACGCCGUCGGCUCCGGCGUCACCUUCCUCGACACCUCCGACAUCUACGGUCCUCACACCAACGAAAUCCUCCUCGGAAAGGCACUGAAGGGAGGGGUGAGGCAGAAGGUGGAAUUGGCGACCAAGUUCGGAGUCAGCUUAGCGGACGGGAAGAGCGAGAUCCGGGGCGAUCCGGCAUACCUGAGGGCGGCUUGCGAGGCCAGCUUGAAGCGGCUCGAUGUCGAUUGCAUCGACCUCUACUACCAGCACCGUAUUGACACUCGCGUCCCCGUGGAAGUCACUAUUGGAGAGCUAAAGAAACUCGUUGAAGAGGGUAAAAUCAAGUACAUUGGUUUAUCGGAGGCCCCUGCAUCAACCAUCAGAAGAGCACAUGCUGUUCAUCCCAUCACAGCUGUGCAAUUGGAGUGGUCUCUGUGGUCAAGAGAUGUGGAGGCAGAGAUCGUUCCCACAUGCAGGGAGCUUGGCAUUGGAAUUGUUGCCUACAGUCCUUUAGGACGAGGAUUCUUUUCUGUUGGUUCCAAGUUGUUGGAGAAUCUCCCCAAGGAUGACUUCAGACAGAAUCUACCAAGGUUUCAGCCAGAGAACUUGGCUCACAACACAAAGUUAUUUGACCGAGUGAAUGAAAUUGCGCAAAGAAAGGGAUGCAACCCAUCCCACUUAGCCCUUGCCUGGGUACACCACCAAGGCGAUGACGUCUGCCCGAUUCCCGGCACAACCAAGAUGGAGAAUUUCAACCAGAACAUCAGAGCUCUGUCAGUGAAACUUACACCAGAAGAGAUGGCCGAGCUCAAAUCGAUUGCUUCUGCGAACAAUGUGAAGGGUGGCAGGUACCAUAGCAGCAUCUCUACAUGGGAAACCUCCGACACUCCACCCCUAUCUUCAUGGAAAGCUACUUAGAGACAUGCCUGUGUCUGUUGCCGCAUCUUUGAUAGGCAGAGUUCGAGCAUUUGCUGCUGCAUAAUUUUUCAGGCUAUGUGGUGUGGUUGUUAUAAGCAUGUGCACAAAGAGAGUGCUUGUGAUCCUGUAAUAAACUCUGAACUUCAUAGAGUAAUUGUUGUCAUUUUGUGUAAAUGACAAUCAGUCUGAGAAGAUUAUAGAUAUGUGAUAAGCUUAUUGGAAAGAUUGCUCAAGAAACACAUGGCGAGCUGAGCUCUAACCGAGCCGAACAUGCCAAUUUGACCCGUCCAUA